UGAUAUUCUCGUCGGACUAUGAAAAAUAAUAGGGGGAAAUGAAUCAUGCUCUCAACUGGGUUGCGCCUGCAUUGUGUCUGGGAGUCGGGGUAGAAGCUUUUCGAUGAGAGUUGGACCAGUGAAAGUUAUUCCGUUUGGAGACACUAAUGUGACCAGUGCUAACAAAUUCCAAAAGAUGAAAGACGAUUUAAAAAGGAAGACGAGCGUGCAAACGGAAGUAGCUGAGAAAUGCCAAAAAAUUAGAAAGUGACGUUAAGAAUCGCCGACGUUCUACACUUCAUGGCCUUGACGACUGUGUUAACGGUGUCUCACAAGAUCGCGCCGAUGGGAGAAACUAUUAAAAGUUUUCAUAAAACUAAAAUACGGAAUUAACACGAAAUAAAAAUGUCUGAAGAGCACUGAAAGUAUCUUUCCUUGACUACCGUGAGCGUGCUUGAUUGAUCCACAUGGACGUAACGAGAUGACCGGAAUGCUCACAUUGUUUGAACACAUAUGUAAUAUAAGCAAGAACGAGCAUGGAUUCCUAGCAAUGCCACGGGACCAGGAUUAAGCAAAAUUGGUUCCUUGACAGCAUCAUUUGCAUCACUUACAUGAUACCAUCUAUAUUGGAAACGUUUGAUACAGCUUUGUGCAACGUCCAUUGAUAACGGAUUGGUCAAUAAAUGUCAAAAAUUUCUUUAAGAGCCGGAGUGGCAUCAUUAUCUCUCUUGUAAUAAAAUAUUCAAAUGUAUCUUCUUCGUUCUUCGAUUCGACCUUGCUCGAAAUACUUGAUGGAAGCUCGCCUUUCGAUAAUCGCGCGGCACUAUUGCCAAAUUAAUUGUUUAACAUUAACAAAAUUAUAUCGGAUGUCAUUAUUCAUUAGCCGGUAGAAUGCUAGGAAACAUUUGAAUAAGGAAUGUGACGCAAAAGGGUAGAAGAACUAGGUUUCAACAAUUAUUGUCAGUUAUAAUCUUACAUAACUGGGAUGGUUGCUUUUGUACUGAUUUCUACAGUUAAUUUUAUUAUUGUUUUUUCUCGCGACUAUUAUUUAUGUAUAUAAUUUAAGAUUAGAAACUAGUGCGAUUUAAUGUUAAUAUUGUCAUCUGCCGACAAGUUGAAAGAUAUGGAAGAUAAGUGUAACUCCGGGGAAUCGCACGGUGCAAAAACCAAAGAACCGGACUUUCUUUUAACAAGCAACACUUACAAAUCUAUUAAAGAAGACAGUUAUUAAACAAGGAAGAAAAAGAAGCUAUAGGCGAAGCGUAUAUACGCACCGAAAGAAUAAAAAAAUGAUGAUGCUGUGACAGAUGAAUAUCUAGAAAGUAGAGCGUCUUUUGUAGGAUCAAGUCUUUCUGUAACAAUUAGAGUAUCUAAGCCUCCAAAAAUUAUCGAUGUUGCCGACGGUUUGACAAACUUGGUUCUUCAAAAACGACUAGUCUACCCUAUGCAGGAUUUAUAUGUCAUUCUAUAAUCCUUCUGGAAACACCGUCCG